GCAUCGCCCACCGCCCGUUCACCAGCUCCGCCUGCACGAACCACCGCAGGUCCUCCGGGUCCUCCGCCAGCGCCAGCGGGUCAAAACCAUUGUCACCCGCCAGACUGCACACGUAUCGUCCGUCAGUACGGUCGUAAACAUAUGUAACAGCUGCGUGCAUGGGCACGACGGAAGUGGUGUGGCGUGUCGUGUGGUCUGCUCACCUGCCGUCGAGGUAGGCAGGGGACUGGAGGCCGGGGAGCCAGGACCCCUUGGCCUGGACGGCGACGUCGCGGCGGGUGGACUUGGCGAGCCCGACGCGGCCGGAGUCGCCCAGGAACCGGGGGCUCGACGCUGACGCCGCCGGCCGGAGAGCGGCCACGGGAGCGCGGGCACUGACCGACGACAUCUUCUGCUACUCCUGACUAGAGAGCGCGUACGGCAGGAGAGUGAGAGUGCGCGCGUGUGUGUGUGGUGGUUCUGCCUCUCCGCACCUGCGCUUGGCCCUUUGUAUUGGGCUGCGCUUCGGUGAUUUGUGGGUGUGGUGAGCUGGGCCCCGGAGGUCGAGAUGGACGGCGUGUGUUGGCGCCACCGCGUCGUCCGACGGCUGCGAUGCGUUUGCGCCUGGAGACUGGAUAGAUGGACCAGUGGGAGACCGGGAGGCGUAUGUGCGUUAUCUGGAUGAUGGAUAAUGCGGAAUCAAAAGGGGGAUCGCUAUUGGUCGGGGAAACGCACGUUCGGUUUACCUGGCUGCCACGUCGAUCGGACGAUCCGUCAUGAUGUACAGCUGUACAUGGUGCCAUGGCGGGUUGGUCUGUUUGCUUCAACUUUCGAGCUCUUCCACGGGAAACCGGCUUUCGCCCUAGAAAUGGCACGGAUGGUCGAACGGAUACAAGGUGAUGGAAAGAACCCCAUAGAAGGCGGUCGCGGCGAGCCGUCACGAUCCCGUAAUCGAACAAGAAAAUAAGAGUCGCCACACCUAACAUGAGGCGACCUAGACUAUUGAAUCGGAACUCAACCGUGCCGCCUAGGAAAAUCAUAGACCAUUAUGCAUAAAACACAUCAAGUUAUCGCCGGAGAAAGUAAGUGUCGAUCCAAUCCGUGGAGUUCCAAUCCUGCGAGCAGAUAGCGAGGACCAAUGACAUUGACUACGAGGACACGUGUAAAUGAUAGGGGAUCAACGGAUCCACUCCACGACGAAGCCGAAGGCACCGAUGUGCUGUAACUGGAUGAUAUUUGUGUUCCCCGACAAUGCCCCGAGGAGGGUAAUGAUGUAGAGCGUUGAUACGUCUCCAACGUAUUUAUGGUGUUUUUAUUGUGUCAUGCUAUUAUAUUAUCAAUUUCGGAUGCUUUAUAUGCUAUUUUAUAUCAUUUUUAAGAACUAACCUAUUAACCGAGUGUCCAGUGUCAGUUCCUAUUUUUUGCGUGUUUUGACUUCUCAGAAAAUCAAUAACAAACGAAGUUCAAACAUGAUGAAACUUUAUGAUGAUUCUUUCUGGACCAAAAAGGGACCCCUAGAAGGUUCGGGAGGAGGCCAGAAGACGUAGGGAGAGCCACAAGCUCACAGGGUGCGCCCCCCCCCCCCCGGGGGNNNNNNNNNNNNNNNNNNNNNNNNNNNNNNNNNNNNNNNNNNNNNNNNNNNNNNNNNNNNNNNNNNNNNNNNNNNNNNNNNNNNNNNNNNNNNNNNNNNNGACGUCUAACUUGUUUUUGCAGGGUAUGAUUGUGAUGUGAUAUGGCCAAUGAUGUGAUGUGAUAUAUUGGAUGUAUGAGAUGAUCAUGUUGUAAUAGAAAUAUCGACUUGCACGUCGAUGGUACGGCAACCGGCAGGAGCCAUAGGGUUGUCUUUAUACUAACGUUUGUGCUUGCAGAUGCGUUUACUAUUUUGCUAGGAUGUAGCUUUAGUAGUAAUAGCAUAAGUAGCACGACAACCCCGAUGUCAACAUGUUGAUGGAUGAUCAUGGUGUGGCGCCGGUGACAAGAAGAUCGUGCCGGUGCUUUGGUGAUGGAGAUCAAGNNNNNNNNNNCUUGCAGAUGCGUUUACUAUAUUGCUAGGACGUAGCUUUAGUAGUAAUAGCAUGCGUAGCACGACAACCCCGAUGGCGACACGUUGAUGGAGAUCAUGAUGAUGGAGAUCAUGGUGUGACGCCGGUGACAAGAAGAUCGUGCCGGUGCUUUGGUGAUGGAGAUCAAGAAGCACGUGAUGAUGGCCAUAUCAUGUCACUUAUGAAUUGCAUGUGAUGUUAAUCCUUUUUGCACCUUAUCUUUCUUAGAACGACGGUAGCAUUAUGAGGUGAUCUCUCACUAAAAUUUCAAGACGAAAUUGUGUUCUCCCCGACUGUGCACCGUUGCGACAGUUCUUCGUUUCGAGACACCAGGUGAUGAUCGGGUGUGAUAGACUCAACGUUCACAUACAACGGGUGCAANNNNNNNNNNUGAAAUUGUGUUCUCCCCGACUGUGCACCGUUGCUACAGUUCGUCAUUUCGAGACACCACGUGAUGAUCGGUGUGAUAGACUCAACGUUCACAUACGACGGGUGCAAAACAGUUGCGCACGCGGAACACUCGGGUUAAGCUUGACGAGCCUAGCAUGUGCAGACAUGGCCUCGGAACACAUGAGACCGAAAGGUCGAUCAUGAAUCAUAUAGAUGAUGUGAUUAGCAUAGGGAUGCUUACCACUGAAACUAUACUCAACUCACGUGAUGAUCGGACUUGAGAUAGUGUAGGUGGAUCAUGAACCACUCAAAUGACUAGAGAGAUGUAAUUUUUGAGUGGGAGUUUAGCAGAUAAUUUGAUUAAGUUGAACUCUAAUUAUCUUCAACAUAGUCUAAGUCCACUUUGAAUAUAUUUGUGUUGUAGAUCAUGGCUGACGCAAGUGUCAUCCUGAAUUUUAAUACGUUCCUAGAGAAAGCUAAGUUGAAAGAUGAUGGAAGCAACUUUGUAGACUGGGCUCGUAAUCUUAAGCUAAUCUUACAAGCUGGGAAGAAGGAUUAUGUCCUUGAUGCUGCGCUAGGAGAUGAACCACCCGCUACGGCUGAUCAGGAUGUUAAGAACGCUUGGUUAGCGCGUAAGGAGGACUACUCAAUAGUUCAAUGUGCAGUCUUGUAUGGCUUAGAACCGGGACUUCAACGUCGCUUUGAGCGUCAUGGAGCAUUUGAGAUGUUCCAGGUGUUGAAGUUUAUCUUUCAGAAGAACGCCUGGAUCGAGAGGUAUGAGACCUCCGAUAAAUUCUAUGCUUGCAAGAUGGAGGAAAACUCGUCUGUCAGUGAACAUGUGCUCAAAAUGUCUGGGUACUCAAACCGUCUAGCUGAGCAGGGGAUUGAACUCCCGCAAGAGGCUAUCACUGACAGAAUCCUUCAAUCACUGCCACCAAGCUACAAAGGCUUUGUGUUGAACUACAACAUGCAAGGGAUGAACAAGUCACCCGGCGAGUUGUUUGCGAUGUUGAAAGUCGCAGAGUCUGAACUCCGUAAAGAGCAUCAAGUGUUGAUGGUGAAUAAGACCACUAGUUUCAAGAGAAACGGCAAAGGCAAGAAGGGUAAUUCAAAGAAGAGACUUGCCGGUAAACGAGAUUGAAAUAGGUAUGCGGAUACUGACGAUCGAAUCUCGGGCAAGUAACAUACCGAAGGACAAAGGGAAUGACAUACGGGAUUAUANNNNNNNNNNNNNNNNNNNNNNNNNNNNNNNNNNNNNNNNNNNNNNNNNNNNNNNNNNNNNNNNNNNNNNNNNNNNNNNNNNNNNNNNNNNNNNNNNNNNUGUGUGUGUGUGUGUGUGCACACUUGUGAUAGUGCAAGUGAUGUGUGUAUGUGUUUAUGUGGCUUAGUUGAAAAGUGGCUCAUGUGAUCUUGCUAGUGUGUUUGGGUGUGUAGUACUUGCAAAGUAUGUGCAUUGUGGAAUAGGUGAGAUGUGUGUGUUGAGGUGAUGUGUGUGUAAGUAGUGCACACAUAUGUGGUACCUAGCAGGAGUGUAUGUAUGUGUGGAUCCAUGUUUACUUGCAUAGCAGUUGUUCCUUCAUGUUGUGCUUGAGAUUAAGUGCUUGUGAUGAGGGUAUUGUGAUGAUAUGUGUGUGGUGAUAACAGCCCCAUUUUCAACACUUGUGCACCUCCUCAUGUUCAUAUGAGAGAGGACAUGAUGUGUGUGUGUGUGAGGGUGAUCUAGUGAAAGUUGUGCUAGUGGUGUUGANNNNNNNNNNGCAACACUUGUGCACCUCCUCAUGUUGAUAUGAGAGAGGGCAUGAUGUGUGUGUGUGAGGGUGAUCUAGUGAAAGUUGUGCUAGUGGUGUUGAUAUGCAUAACACAUACAUGGGGUUCAAACCCCCAUGUCACUUUUUCAUUGUGCACAUGAGCUCAACCUUUGUAGUUGUUGACUUAGUAGGAACUACAUGAAAUGAUGCCCAUUCCCUAGGCAUGAUUUGGAGUAGUUUCCUCUCCCUUAUUUUGUGGUCACUUGUUCCAAGUAAGUGCCCACAUAUUAUAUAUGAUUUUGGGGUAGAAUCUCCCAAGGAAUCCAGUGGUGAAGUUAGUUUUUCCAUUACGAUACUUUAUGGAGUUGACAUAUUCAGAUUUGUUGCAAGUUUGAUCUUUGAUUCCAUGGAAUAGGUGGAGCCCAAGGGCANNNNNNNNNNGCCAUUAGGAUAAUUUCUGGAGUUGACAUAUUCAGAUUUAUUGCAAGUUUGAUCUUUGAUUCCAUGGAAUAGGUGGAGCCCAAGGGCAUGAGUUUUUGUGUGAUAGUAGUAGGGUUUUGCUCUACACCAUAGUGGUGUCAUAUAUCACUUGGUGUUACUUGUGUGCAAACUAUGCCUAGACAAAGUGGGCAUGUGGUUGAAAAUUCCAGUUUAGUGAAAUCUGGAAUUUCACUAAGUCUGGGAUUCUGGAAACAUUUUCUUCUCUUAUAGAUGAGGAUGUGCUGGUCAUUGUGUUGAGAUCUAGCCUUAGUUCAGUGCUAGGAUUUUGGACCUGAUAUGUUUUUUAAGUUCCCUGUCAAAUUUCAAAUCAUUUGGAGUCUAGUAGGUUGUGUUUUGAUUGCUGUCAAAAAGCUUCAGAACAAAGACAGNNNNNNNNNNAUAGCCUUAGUUCAGUGCUAGGAUUUUGGACCUGAUAUGUUUGUGAUGCUUCCUGUCAAAUUUCAAAUCAUUUCGAGUCCAGUAGGUUGUGUUUUGAUUGCUGUCAAAAAGCUUCAGAACAAAGACAGAAAUUCAGGUGCAGGAAUUUUCACCAAGUCCCUGAGAUCUGAUGGUUUUGGGGAAGUUUGUGGCCUUGUAUAUUAAUUCCUUUUGCUGUGAUUCUUGCUGGUGCUUGUAGGGUUCUUAGUGGGCUACAGCCACAUAUAUUAUUUGACAUAUUUGGUGGCCUGUAGCUAUGUUGCAUGUAGCUCACAAAGUGCUAAGAUGCAGUUUAUGGCAGAUUAUGUAGUUUUGUCAUUUCUAUGAUUGUGUGUGCUUAGUGGAUGUGGUGGUGCUCUUACUUGCUCCAAUCCAUUCAUGUGGGAGUGGUACAUGUCUUGGCAACCUGNNNNNNNNNNUAUGCAGUUUAUGGCAGAUUAUGUAGUUUUGUCAUUUUGAUGAUUGUGUGUGCUUAGUGGAUGUGGUGGUGCUCUUCCUUGCUCCAAUCCAUUCAUGUGGGAGUGGUACAUGUCUUGGCAACCUGGGAAUACCAGAUUUGUGCCAAUUGUGAGUGUGGUGUUGAUUCUUACACGUAGAGCUUCAUAUCUUGUUUCGUUGAUUCCCGUUGAACCGUAGCUCCGUUCGCAAUGUUCUUUAUAUGUUUUUGCAUAGUUUUCACGAGACGCAUCUCUUCAUGCCAUUCUCAUGCAUGUAAAAAUAUCCUAGUUUACAGUUCUGUCCAGAAACUUAUAGUAGUUCUUUUGCUUGUGCUAGUGAUAGAAAUAGUGAUGCAUGCUCAUUUUUCANNNNNNNNNNACAAUGUUCUUUAUAUGUUUUUGCAUCGUUUUCACGAGACGCAUCUCUUCAUGCCAUUCUCAUGCAUGUCGAAAUAGCCUAGUGUAAAGUUCUGUCCAGAAACUUAUAGUAGUUCCUUUUGCUUGUGCUAGUGAUAGAAAUAGUGAUGCAUGCUCAUUUUUCAUCUCAUGCAUCAUGUGAUUGUUGCAUCUUGUNNNNNNNNNNNNNNNNNNNNNNNNNNNNNNNNNNNNNNNNNNNNNNNNNNNNNNNNNNNNNNNNNNNNNNNNNNNNNNNNNNNNNNNNNNNNNNNNNNNNGAACAACAUUCGGUAACCAACCAUAUAACUCAAAUACGCAUAAAACAAUGUCGAACCUUAAGUGUGCAGACCCUACGGGUUCAGGAACUAUGUAGACAUCACCCGAGAGACUCCUCGGUCAAUAUCCAAUAGCGGGACCUGGAUGCCCAUAUUGGAUCCUACAUAUUCUACGAAGAUUUUAUCGUUUGAACAUCAGUGCCAAGGAUUCAUAUAAUCCCGUAUGUCAUUCCCUUUGUCCUUCGGUAUGUUACUUGCCCGAGAUUCGAUCAUCAGUAUCCGCAUACCUAUUUCAAUCUCAUUUGCCGGCAAGUCUCUUUACUCGUUCCGUAAUACAAGAUCCGCAACUUACACUAAGUCACAUUACUUGCAAGGCUUGUGUAUGAUGUUGUAUUACCGAGUGGGCCCCGAGAUACCUCUCCGUCACACGGAGUGACAAAUCCCAGUCUCGAUCCAUACUAACUCAACUAACACCUUCGGAGAUACCUGUAGAGCAUCUUUAUAGUCACCCAGUUACNNNNNNNNNNNNNNNNNNNNNNNNNNNNNNNNNNNNNNNNNNNNNNNNNNNNNNNNNNNNNNNNNNNNNNNNNNNNNNNNNNNNNNNNNNNNNNNNNNNNGUAGACCGAUAAUUUCUGCAUCUACUACUAUUACUCCACACGUCGACCGCUAUCCAGCAUGCAUCUAGUGUUUUGAGUUCAUGACGAACAGAGUAACGCCUUAAGAAAGAUGACAUGAUGUAGAGGGAUAAUCUCAAACCAAUGAUGAAAACCCCAUCUUUUUACCCUUGAUGGCAACAACACGAUACGUGCCUCGCUACCCCUUCUAUCACUUGGUGAGGUCACCGCACGGUAUGAACCCAAAACCAAGCAAUUCUCCCAUUGCAAGAAUCAUAGAUCUAGUUGGCCAAACAAAACCCACAACUCGAAGUGAAUUACAAGGAUAUGCAAUCAUGCAUAAGAGAGAUCAGAAGAAACUCAAAUAAGAUUCAUAGAUAAUCUGAUCAUAAAUCCACAAUUCAUCGGAUCUCGACAAACACACCGCAAAAGAAGAUUACAUCGGAUAGAUCUCCAUGAAGAUCAUGGAGAACUUUGUAUUGAAGAUCCAAGAGAGAGAAGAAGCCAUCUAGCUACUAGCUAUGGACCCGUAGGUCUGUGGUGAACUACUCACGCAUCAUCGGAGAGGUCAUGGUGUUGAUGAAGAAGCCCUCCGUAUCCGAAUCCCCCCUCGGUAGGGCACCAGAAUGUGCCCCAGAUGGGAUCUUGCGGAGACAGAAGCUUGCGGCGGCGGAAAAGUACUUUUGAUGAUCUCCUGAUUUUUUCUGGGAUUUUAGGUAAUUUAUAGGCGAAAGACCUAGGGAAGAGGUGGCCCAGGGAGCCCACAAGCCUGGGAGGCGCGGGCCCCCCUGGCCGCGGCUAGGGGGCUUGUGGGGUCCCUGCUGCCCCCCUGCCCAGAUUCUCAGGCUUCUUGAUCUUCUUAUAUUUCGGAAAAAAUCUUUUUGGCAGUUUCGUUCCGUUUGGACUCCGUUUAAAAUCCUCCUCUGAAAAGGGUCAAAAACAUGGAAAAAACAGGAACUGGCACUUGUCACUGAGUUAAUAAGUUAGUCCCAAAAAAUAUAUAAAAGGCAUACAAAACAUCCAAAGUUUGACAAGAUAAUAGCAUGAAACCAUCAAAAAUUAUAGAUACGUUGGAGAUGUAUUAACCUACGAGGUUUGUAGUAACUUGAUCCGAAGCUCUAAUGAUCACUAUCAUCAGCUUCCACUUCAAUUGGUGUAGGCGUCACAGGAACAACUUCCUGCGCCCUGCUACACACUGGUUGAAGUGACGGUUCAAUAACCUCAUCAAGUUCCACCAGUCUCCCACCCAAUUCUUUGGAGAGAAACCUUUCCUCGAGAAAGGAUCCGUUUCUAGAAACAAACACUUUGCUUCCGGAUCUGAGAUAGGAGAUGUAUCCAACUGUUUUGGAUAUCCUAUGAAGAUGCAUUUAUCCGCUUUGGGAUCGAGCUUAUUAGACUGAAACCUUUUCACAUAAGCAUCGCAACCCCAAACUUUCAAGAAACGACAGCUUAGGUUUCUCUAAACCAUAGUCUAUGGCGUGUCAUCUCAACGGAAGUAUGCGGUGCCCUAUUUAAAGUGAAUGUGGUUGUCUCUAAUGCAUAACCCAUAAACGAUAGUGGUAAUUCGAUAAGAGACAUCAUAGUAUGCACCAUAUCAUAAUAGGGUGUGGCUAUGACGUUCACACACAUCAUCACACUAUGGUGUUCCAGGUGGCAUGAACUGCGAAACAAUUUUCACAUUGUCUUAACUGCGUACCAAAAACUCGCAACUCAGAUAUUCAUCUCUAUGAUCAUAUCGUAGACAGUUUAUCCACUUGUCACAACGAUCUUCACUCUGAAAUAGCUUUGAACUUUUCAAUAUUUCAGACUUGUGAUUCAUCAAGUAAAUACUCGUGUAUCUACUCAAAUCGUCAGUGAAGUAAGAACAUAACGAUAUCCACUGCGUGCCUCAGCACUCAUUGGACUGCACACAUCAAAAAUGUAUUACUCCCAACAAGUUACUCUCUUGUUUCAUGUAGCAUGAUCUGCAUGUCUCAAGUGAUUCAAAAUCAAGUGAGCCCAAACGGUCCAUCCGCAUGGAGUUUCUUCAUGCGUUUAUACCAACAAGUAUGGUUUGCAUGUUUCAAUCGUUUCAAAAAAUGAGUGAGUACAAAGAUCCAUCAGCAUGGAGCUUCUUCAUGCAUUUUAUACCAACAUGACUCAAGUGGCAGUGCUACAACUAAGUGGUACUAUCAUUAUAACUUUGUAUCUUUUGGCACCAAUAUUAUGAACAUGUGUAACACUAUGAUCGAGAUUCAAUAAACCAUUGAGGGUAAUUAUUCAAGCAAAUAGAAUAACUAUUAUUCUCUUUAAUUGAAUAAUUGUAUUGCAAUGAACACGAUCCAAUCAUGUUCAUGAUUAACGCAAUCACCAAAUAACAAUUAUUUAAGUUUUACCACCAAUCUGGAUGAUAGAGGGAGCGUGCGAUGUUUGAUCACAUCAACCUUGGAAACACUUCCAACACGUAUUGUCACCUCGCCUUUAGCUAGUCUCCGUUUAUACCGUAGCUUUCAUUUCGAGUUACUAAUCACUUAGCAACCGAACCGGUAUCGAAUACCCUCGUGCUACUAGGAGUAAAGUACACAUCAAUAUCAUGCAUAUCAAAUAUACUUCUGUCGACUUUGCCAGCCUUCUUAUCUACCAAGUAUCUAGGGUAGCUCCGCCUCACUGACCGUUCCCCUCAUAACAGAAGCACUCAGUCUCGGGUUUGGGUUCAAUUUUGGGUUUCUUCAUUAGAGCAGCAACUUGUUUGCCGUUUCAUGAAGUAUCCCUUCAAGCCCUUACCCUUCUUGAAACUAGUGGUUUUACUAAGCAUCAACAAUUGAUGCUCCUUCUUGAUUUCUACUUUCACAGUGUCAAACAUUGCAAAUCACUCAAGGAUCAUCAUAUCUAUCCUUGAUUUGUUUAUAGUUCAUCACGAAGCUCUAGCAGCUUAGUCGCAGUGACUUUGGAGAACCAUCACUAUCUCAUCUGGAAGAUUAACUCCCACUUGAUUCAAGCGAUUGUUGUACUGAGACAAUCUGAGAACAUGCUCAACGAUUUGAGCUUUUCUCCUUUACUUUGUAGGCAAAGAAUCUUGUCGGAGGUCUUAUAUCUCUCAACAAGGGCACGAGCAUGAAAUCUCAAUUUCAUCUCUUUGAACAUCUCUUAUGUUCUGCGAUGUUUUCAAAACGUCUUCAGUGCCUUGCUUCUAAGCCAUUAAGUAUUGCGCACUGAACUAUUAUGUAGUCAUCAAAGACGUGUAUGUCAGAUGUUUGCAGCAUCCACAAACAACACCUGAGGUGCAGCACACCAAGUGGUGCAUUAAGGACAUAAGACUUCUGCGCAACAAUGAGGACAAUACUCAGUUUUACGGACUGAGUCCGCAAAGUUGCUACUAUCAACUUUGAACUAAAUUUUCUCUAGGAACAUAUAAAAACAGUAGAGCUAUAGCGCAAGCUACAUCGUAAUUUGCAAAUACCAUUGGACUAUGUUCAUGAUAAUUAGUUCAAUUAAUCAUAUUACUUAAGAACUCCCACUCAAAAAGUACAUCUCUCUAGUCAUUUGAGUGGUACAUGAUCCGAAUCCACUAUCUCAAGUCCGAUCAUCACGUGAGUCGAGAAUAGUUUCAGUGGCAAGCAUCUCUAUGCUAAUCAUAUCAACUAUACGAUUCAUGCUCGACCUUUCGGUCUCUUGUGUUCCGGGGCCAUGUCUGCACAUGCUAGGCUCGUCAAGUUUUACCCGAGUGUUCCGCGUGUGCAACUGUUUUGCACCCGUUGUAUGUGAACGUUGAGUCUAUCACACCCGAUCAUCACGUGGUGUCUCGAAUCAACAAACUGUAGCAACGGUGCAGAGUCGGGGAGAACACAAUUUCGUCUUGAAAUUUUAGUGAGAGAUCACCACAUAAUGCUAUCGUCGUUCUAAGCAAAAUAAGGUGCAUAAAAGGAUUAACAUCACAUGCAAUUCAUAAGUGAAUGAUAUGGCCAUCAUCACGUGCUUCUUUAUCUCCAUCACCAAAGCAUCGACAUGAUCUUCUUGUCACCGGUGCCACACCAUGAUCUCCAUCAACGUGUCGCCAUCGGGGUUGUCGUGCUACUUAUGCUAUUACUACUAAAGCUACGUCCUAGCAAUAUACUAAACGCAUCUGCAAACACAAACGUUAGUUUAAAGACAACCCUAUGGCUCCUGCGGGUUGCCGUACCAUCGACGUGCAAGUCGAUAUUAACUAUUACAACAUGAUCAUCUCAUACAUCCAAUAUAUCACAUCACGUCAUUGGCCAUAUCAUAUCACAAGCAUAUCCUUCGAAAACAAGUUAGACGUCCUCUAAUUGUUGUUGAAUGUUUUACGUGGUUUCAAUGGGUAUCUAGUAGAUCGCAUCUUACUUACGCAAAAACCACAACGCAGAUGUGCAAAUUGCUAUUUAUCCUCUCCAGGGACCGCCUCGGUCAAAACCAAUUCAACUAAAGUUGAAGAAACCGACACCCGCCAGUCAUCUUUAUGCAACGAGGUUGCAUGUCAAUCGAUGAAACUAGUCUUUUGUAAGCAUACGAAUAAUGUCGGUCCGGGCCGCUUCAAUCCAAAAAUACCGCCAAAUUGAGAAAAGACUCAGGAGGGCAGCAAAUCGAACAUCACCGUCCAGAAAACCCUUUGUGUUCUACUCGAGAUUACAUCUACGCAUGAACCUAGCUCAUGAUGCCUAUGUUGGGGAACGUCGCAUGGGAAACAAAAAAUUUCCUACGCGCACGAAGACCUACCGUGGUGAUGUCCAUCUACGAGAGGAGAUUUGGAUCUACGUACCCUUAAAGAUCGCACAGCAGGAAGCGUUAAGAAACGCGGUUGAUGUAGUGGAACGUCCUCACGUCCCUCGAUCCGCCCCNNNNNNNNNNUCCGUCCCACGAUCCGCUCCGAUCUAGUGCCGAACGGACGGCACCUCCAUGUUCAGCACACGUACAGCUCGACGAUGAUCUCGGCCUUCUUGAUCCAGAAAGUAAGACGAAGAAGUAGAUGAGUUCUCCGGCAGCGUGAAGGCGCUUCGGUGGUGGUUGCUACGACAACAAAAGUUCUUCCCCGGCAAUGGCGCCAGAAAUCCUUCUUGCUACUUCUCAAACAACAACGCCAAAAUUGACACGUUGACGGAGACUUGCUUGCGUCGGUUUUUGCCUUGAAGAGGAAAGGGUGAUGCAGCACAGGAGCAGUAAGUAUUUCCCUCAGUUUGAGAACCAAGGUAUCAAUCCAGUAGGAGAAUCUCGUCAAGUCCAGAGUACCUCCACAAACAUAAAGAUCUUGCACCCAAUGCUAUAAAGGGGUUGUCAAUCCCUUCAAGAUUGAUUGCAAAGUGAGAUUUGAAGGCGGAAAGUGCAACGAAGUAAAAUUGUAAGGCUAAAAAUAUGGUGUGGAGUAGACCCCGGGGCCAUAGUGUUCACUAGAGGCUUCUCUCAAAAUAGCAAAUAUUACAGUGGGUGAACAAAUUACUGUCGAGAAAUUGAUAGAACCGCGCAAAGUCAUGACGAUAUCUAAGGCAAUGAUCAUACAUAUAGGCAUCACGUCCGAGACAACUAGACCGAUACUUUCUGCAUCUACUACUAUUACUCCACACAUCGACCGCUAUCCAGCAUGCAUCUAGUGUAUUGAGUUCAUGACGAACAGAGUAACGCCUUAAGCAAGAUGACAUGAUGUAGAGGGAUAAUCUCAAACCAAUGAUGAGAACCCCAUCUUUUUACCCUCGAUGGCAACAACACGAUGCGUGCCUCGCUACCCCUUCUGUCACUGGGUGAGGUCACCACACGGUAUGAACCCAAAACCAAGCACUUCUCCCAUUGCAAGAAUCAUCGAUCUAGUUGGCCAAACAAAACCCACAACUCGAAGAGAAUUACAAGGAUAUGAAAUCAUGCAUAAGAGAGAUCGGAAGAAACUCAAAUAAGACUCAUAGAUAAUCUGAUCAUAAAUCCACAAUUGAUCGAAUGUCGACAAACACACCGCAAAAGAAGAUUACAUCGGAUAGAUCUCCAUGANNNNNNNNNNNNNNNNNNNNNNNNNNNNNNNNNNNNNNNNNNNNNNNNNNNNNNNNNNNNNNNNNNNNNNNNNNNNNNNNNNNNNNNNNNNNNNNNNNNNNNNNNNNNNNNNNNNNNNNNNNNNNNNNNNNNNNNNNNNNNNNNNAUACUAGCUAUGGACCCGUAGGUCUAUGGUGAACUACUCACGCAUCAUCGGAGAGGUCAUGGUGUUGCUGAAGAAGCCCUCUGUAUCCGAAUCCCCCCUCCGACAGGGCACCGGAACGUGCCCCAGAUGGGAUCUUGUAGAGACAGAAGCUUGCGGCGGCGGAAAAGUACUUUCGAUGAUCUCCUGAUUUUUUUCUGGGAUUUUAGGGAAUUUAUAGGCGAAAGUCCUAGGGCAGAGCUGGCCCAAGGAGCCCACAAGCCUGGGAGGCGCGGGCCCCCUGGUCGCGGCUAGGGGGCUUGUGGGGUCCCUGCAGCCCCCCUGCCCUGAUUCUCAGGUUUCCCGAUCUUCUUCUGUUUCAGAAAAAAUCUUUUUGACAGUUUCAUUCCGUUUGGACUCCGUUUAAAAUCCUCCUUUGAAAGGGGUCAAAAACAUGGGGAAAUAGGAACUGGCACUGAGUUAAUAAGUUAGUCCCAAAAAGUAUAUAAAAGGCAUGCAAAACAUCCAAAGUUUGACAAGAUAAUAGCAUGAAACCAUAAAAAUUAUAGAUACAUUGGAUACGUAUCAAGCAUCCCCAAGCUUAACUCCUGCUCGUCCUAAAGUAGGGAAGUGAUAAAGAAUUAAAUUUUGAUGUGGAAUGCUACCUAGCAUAGUUGUCCUUUGCAACUUCUUUCAUGUGACAUGAGUGUUCAGAUCCGUGAGAUUGAAAACAAUAGUUUGCUAUUGACAUGAAAACAAUAAUACUUCAAGCAAACUAGCAAGGUAAUCAUGAACUUUAAAAAUAACAAGGCCAAGGAAAGUUAUCCCUACAAAAUUAUAUAGUCUGGCUAUGCUCCAUCAUCCUCACACAACUAAUGUAAAUCAUGCACAACCCCGGUAUUGGCCAAGAAAUAGUUUUCGCACUCUUACUUUCUCAAACUUUUUAUAACUAUCAUGCAAUACAUGAGCGUGAGCCAUGGAUAUAGCACUAUAAUUGGAAUAGAGUGUGGUGGUGGUUGUGAGACAAAAAGGAGAAGAUGGUCACAUUGACUCUGCGUAUCAAAGGGCUAUGGAGAUACCCAUUAAUAGAUAUCAAUGUGAAUGAGUAGGGAUUGCCAUACAAAGGAUGCACUAGAGCUAUAAGUAUGUGAAAGCUCAAAAGGAAAACUAGUGGGUGUGCAUCCAACUUGCUUUCUCACGAAGACCUAGGGCAAUUUUGAGGAAACCCAUCAUUGGAAUAUACAAGCCAAGUUAUAUAGUGAAGAUUCCAACUAGCAUAUGGUGGUGACGAAACGAGAGGCUCUCAAUCAUGAAGAACAUGGUGCUAUUAUGAAGCACAAGUGUGGAAAAAGAUAGUAGCAUUGUCCCUUCUCUCUUUUCUCUCUUCUUCUUUUUUAUUUGGGCUCUUAGGCCUCUUUUUCUCUUUUUUUGGGCUCUUUGGCCUCUUUUUUUAUUUUAUUUCCUCACAUGGGACAAUGCUCUAAUAAUGAUGAUCAUCACACUUUUAUUUACUCACAGCUCAAAGCUUAGAAAUGACUUCUAUAGGAAAUGCCUCCGGCAGUGUACCGGGAUGUGCAACGAUCUAGCUUGGCGUAUGACGUUGAAACAUAUCGCUAGCUAUCUUGCGAUCAUGCAAUGGAAAUAUGAGAGUGACGGCACAAGUCAUGAGACGGAACGGUGGGAGUUGCAUGUCAAUAUAUCUCGGAAUGGCUACGAAAAUGCCAUAGUAGGUAGAUAUGGUGGUUGUUUUGAGGAAGGCAUUUGGUGGGUUUGUGUACCGGCGAGAAUUGCACGGCACUAGAGAGGCUAGCAAUGGUGAAAGGUGGAAGUGCAUCUAUACCAUGGACUCACAUUAGUCAUGAAGAACUCACAUACAUGUUGCGAAAUUUUUUAUUAGUAAUCGAAACAAAGUGCUAAACGCAUACUCCUAGGGGAAGGGUUGGUAGGUGUUAACCAUCGCACGAACCCGACCUCAACACAAAGGAUGACAAUCAAUAGAUCAAUUAUGCUUCGACUUCCUAACAUAGCGGUUCACCAUACGUGCAUGCUACGGGAAUCACUAACUUUAACACAAGUAUUUCUAGAUUCACAAUACCCUACUAACAUAACUCUUAAUAUUACCAAAUCCACGCCUCCAAACUAAUUGAGAGGAAUCAAAACUUCUCUUUCUACUCAAUGCACAUGAAUAUGGAGGUUUUUGUAUCCUCUUUGGGUACCUAUCACCUUUGGGACUACUUUCAUAGCAUAAGCCAACUACCAAAUCACGCACCGCCGUGCUCUAACAGAUCUAAGUGAAGCACAUAUAGCAAAAUUGUCUAGCUGAAAAGAUAUAAGUGAAGCACAAUGAGCAUUCUAGCAAAAUCACGGUGAGUUCAUGUCUAUCUCUAAAGGUGUGCAUCAAGGAUGAUUGUGACACAACAAAAAGAAAAUAAUCCUAAGAUACAAGACACUCCAAGCAAAACACAUAUCAUGUGGUGAAUAAAAAUAUAGCUCCAAGUAAUGUUACCGAUGGAUUGAAGACGAAAGAGGGGAUGCCUUCCCGGGGCAUNNNNNNNNNNNNNNNNNNNNNNNNNNNNNNNNNNNNNNNNNNNNNNNNNNNNNNNNNNNNNNNNNNNNNNNNNNNNNNNNNNNNNNNNNNNNNNNNNNNNGGAUGCCUUUGCGGCCUGUGUUCGUUUAUGAUGGACUAGUUGGAGCACCCCUGCAGGGUUUAAUCUUUCAGAAAGCCGUGCCCACGGUUAUGUGGCAACUUGGAAUAUUUUGUUAACAUCCGGUAUUAGAGAACUUGAACAUAAGCUAAUAAAAUUGCCAACUGUGUGCGUAUCCGUGUCUGUCCCCUCGAAGAUCCCUCUUCGAUCGGGAACACGGUGGGGUUAUGAAUGCCGUAGGUAGGUGGUCAGGAUCACUUAGUGAUCAAGUAUUCCCGACCGCUAGUGUAGACCACCUUCACAAUUACUUCGCGUAAGUUAGCCACUUAAUCAAGCUUAGGAUGCUGCAGCCUUAUACACUUCACCCUUACCCUACCUAAUAACAUGACUAGUUCUGGCACCAAGGUCUUAGAUUGCUGAGUCCCCGUGGCUCACGGAUUCCUCCGAAACUCCCAGCAGGUACAGGUACCCCAGAUAUAGAUGAUCCCGACGGCACCCAGCUGGCGUGGCAGUACGACGAGGAGACAGACCGCCUCUACGUGACCUAUCCAGGGGACUGAGGCGUGGUCGUGAUCGUGGGCCUGCAGGCAGGGUAGCAUAGCAUUUCCAUGUUUUGUAGUCCGUAGCGGAACUACNNNNNNNNNNNNNNNNNNNNNNNNNNNNNNNNNNNNNNNNNNNNNNNNNNNNNNNNNNNNNNNNNNNNNNNNNNNNNNNNNNNNNNNNNNNNNNNNNNNNAAAAAAAAGAGCAGGUGGGAAAAGGGGGAAGGACUCCUCCUUCCAAACCUAAUUGGACUCGGUUUGGAAGGGGAGGGUUGCCCCCCUUGGCUCGGCCGCCCCCUUGGGAGUCCUUGGACCCCAAGGCAAGGCUCCCCCUCCUCCCCCUAUAUAUACGCAGGUUUUAGGGCUGAUUUGAGACAACUUUGCCACGACAGCCCGACCACAUAUCUCCACGGUUUCACCUCUAGAUCGCGUUUCUGCGGAGCUCGGGCGGAGCCCUGUGAGAUAAGAUCACCACCAACCUCCGUAGCUCCGUCACGCUGGCGGAGAACUCAUCUACCUCUCCAUCACUCUUGCUGGAUCNNNNNNNNNNAGUUUCACCUCUAGAUCGCGUUUCUGCGGAGCUCGGGCGGAGCCCUGCUGAGAUAAGAUCACCACCAACCUCCGGAGCGCCAUCACGCUGGCGGAGAACUCAUCUACCUCUCCAUCACUCUUGCUGGAUCAAGAAGGCCGAGAUCAUCGUCGAGCUGUACGUGUGCUGAACGCGGAGGUGCCGUCCGUUCGGCACUAGAUCGUGGGACUGAUCGCGGGACGGUUCGCGGGGCGGAUCGAGGGACAUGAGGACGUUCCACUACAUCAACUGUGUUCACUAAUGCUUCUGCUGUGCGGUCUACAAGGGUACCUAGAUCGAACAUCCCCUCUCGUAGAUGGACAUCACCAUGAUAGGUCUUCGUGCGCGUAGGAAAUUUUUUGUUUCCCACGCGACGUUCCCCAACAGUGGCACCAUGAGCUAGGUUCAUGCGUAGAUGUCUUCUCGAGUAGAACACAAAAGUUUUUGUGGGCGGUGAUGUGCGUUUUGCUGCCCUCCUUAGUCUUUUCUUGAUUCCGCGGUAUUGUUGGAUUGAAGCGGCUUGGACCGACAUUACUCGUACGCUUACGAGAGACUGGUUUCAUCGUUACGAGUAACCCCCUUUGCUCAAAGAUGACUGGCAAGUGACGGUUUCUCCAACUUUAGUUGAAUCNNNNNNNNNNNNNNNNNNNNNNNNNNNNNNNNNNNNNNNNNNNNNNNNNNNNNNNNNNNNNNNNNNNNNNNNNNNNNNNNNNNNNNNNNNNNNNNNNNNNUGGGAUCUUGUAUUACGGAACGAGUAAAGAGACUUGCUGGUAAACGAGAUUGAAAUAGGUAUGCGGAUACUGACGAUUGAAUCUCGGGCAAGUAACGUACCGAAGGACAAAGGGAAUGACAUACGGGAUUAUACGAAUCCUUGGCACUGAGGUUCAAACGAUAAGACCUUCGUAGAAUAUGUAGGAUCCAAUAUGGGCAUCCAGGUCCCGCUGUUGGAUAUUGACCGAGGAGUCUCUCGGGUCAUGUCUACAUAGUUCUCGNNNNNNNNNNNNNNNNNNNNNNNNNNNNNNNNNNNNNNNNNNNNNNNNNNNNNNNNNNNNNNNNNNNNNNNNNNNNNNNNNNNNNNUGGGUCAUGUCUACAUAGUUCUCGAACCCGCAGGGUCUACACACUUAAGGUUCGACGUUGUUUUAUGCGUAUUAGAGUUAUAUGGUUGGUUACCGAAUGUUGUUCGGAGUCCCGGAUGAGAUCACGGACGUCACGAGGGUUUCCGGAAUGGUCCGGAAACGAAGAUUGAUAUAUAGGAUGACCUCAUUUGAUUACCGGAAGGUUUUCGGAGUAACCGGGAAUGUACCGGGAAUGACGAAUGGGUUCCGAAGUUCACCGGGGGGGCAACCCACCCCGGGGAAGCCCAUAGGCCUUGAGGGAGGCACACCAGCCCUUAGUGGGCUGGUGGGACAGCCCAAAAGAGCCCUAUGCGCCAUAGAGAUAAAAAUCAAAGAGAAAGAAAAAAAAAGGGAGGUGGGAAGGAAGGGAAGGACUCCCUCCCACCAAACCAAGUCCAACUCGGUUUCGGGGGGGAGUCUUCCCCCCUUGGACUCGGCCGACCCCCUUGGGGCUCCUUGAGCCCCAAGGCAAGGUCCCCUCCCUCCCACCUAUAUAUACGGAGGUUUUAGGGCUGAUUUGAGACGACUUUUCCACGGCAGCCCGACCACAUACCUCCACGGUUUUUCCUCUAGAUCGCGUUUCUGCGGANNNNNNNNNNGGCGGAGCCCUGCUGAGACAAGAUCAUCACCAACCUCCGGAGCGCCGUCACGCUGCCGGAGAACUCUUCUACCUCUCUGUCUCUCUUGCUGGACCAAGAAGGCCGAGAUCAUCGUCGAGCUGUACGUGUGCUGAACGCGGAGGUGCCGUCCGUUCGGUACUAGAUCGUGGGACUGAUCGCGGGAUUGUUCGCGGGGCGGAUCGAGGGACGUGAGGACGUUCCACUACAUCAANNNNNNNNNNNNNNNNNNNNNNNNNNNNNNNNNNNNNNNNNNNNNNNNNNNNNNNNNNNNNNNNNNNNNNNNNNNNNNNNNNNNNNNNNNNNNNNNNNNNCGGACCGUCGCCGUUGCACGUCGAACGACGCGGAACGCCGCCGCUCGCUCCGUCCACCGGUCGCCUCCCUCCGUCCUCGGAACCAGGCGCCGCCGCCGUCCUCCGAACCCGACCGAGGCCGGCGCCGGCCGGCGCCCACUCGACCCCCGAGAACCACGUCCAGGGUCGACCUCCGAGGCGCCACUUGGCCGCGGGCAGGCUGCGCUGGCUCCGGGCUCCGGGCGCGGGGGCGGGCGAGCGGCUGCUAGGCGGAGGACGAAGAGGAGGAGGAGGAAGACUUGACGAGGGCGGAGAGCCAGACGACGACGACGUUGAUGGAGAUGGUCACGUACGGCCUAGCGUCCACGGAGAAGUUGAAGCUGAAGUAGGACGCUCCCGGCGCCGAGGAAGAUGCCGCCAUCUCCAUGUCCAUGGUCUCUGUCUGUGGUAUGCCUGUCUCCUCUGCUCUUGCUGCCUUGGUGCUUCUUGCUUGCCUCUGGGAUGAGAGUUGUCGCUGGUCGCUGCGUGCUGGAUGCUAUUUGCAGAGCACGAAGGCUUGGCAUAUAUAGCUUGGUAGCCUCGCGAUAAGGCGCGAAACAAGUUGGAAGCGGGAUCGKACCCGUUGCGACUUGGGAAGAAGGAAAGCCGGGAGCGAAGAAGGUUCCCGGAAGCGGGGAGGCGUGGUGGAAACGCCGGACCAGACCGAGCGGUCGCCGGUUCGUGGCUUGUGAAAGUGAUGGAGCUGUCGUGCGCGCGCGCGCGGGGGUGUUUUUCAGCGGGUUUCGAGGGAGCUUCGCGGCGUGGAAACAUGCGCACCGGCGACCUGACCGUCCUGCUUUCUCGUGUUCUCGGUUGGGGUUGGCGUUGGAAUUCCACGCAGCCUCUCUCUCUCCUAUUUUAGUGGGCACGUCGCUCUCGUUUCGUCUGUGGUGCAGCCGCUCGUCUGCUACUCUUUCCGUUGUCGGGUUUCCUCCUGGUUGAUUUUCUUUUUGCGACUGAAUUCUGAUUUGAUUUUGAUAGAUAUAUGUGCGGUGGUGGACUGGUCGCAGGGAGCUGGGGGUGGUAUACGGCGACCGGUGUGAAGGAAGGUUGGUGAGUUGGCUGGCGAGCGCUUGACCAGAUUUCGUGGUGGACUCGACCAAACCAAACCAAACAGUGGCGUAGGUCUUUGCGCCAGCGGGCGUGAGGGAAUGCUUGCUCGUGCCCCCACCACCGGGUCGUCUCCGAUGACUGAGGUGUUUACACGCGACAGAGGUGCUAAUUAUGUGUGCUGCCGGCUGCAUAUAGAUCGAUAUACGCUAAAUGGAAACAUGACAACAAAACGUACGUUUGCCCGCACAAACCUUCCUGGACGGCAUGUUUGUCUCACGCUACUUUUCAUCCUUUGUUUUACAAAUUUGAAAUCUGAAGCUACAUUUCUUUUAAACACGAUAUAGAUGCAAGAGCUCAUAUAUAAGAGCAACUCUAGCAUACCCCGCAUCCCGUCGGCCCGUAAAACGCGUUUGCAGGUCGCGCAAAACAGCUUUUGCAGGCUGGCGUGGGCUGGCACAGAUGCGGACCCACCAAACGGAUCCGUAAAAAAAUAUAGUCGCGAAAUAUUCCUUUUUACGGGUCGGCUUUGCGGGAUCUGCUCUUUGCACCGCUGCUUCCCACGUAUCAUUAGCCCGCAAAUAUCAAAUACUCCCUCUGUAAGUUAAUAUAAGAGCAUUUAGACUACUAAAGUAGUGUUCUAAAUGCUCUUAUAUUAGUUUACGGGGACAUAAUUCAACAGCCGAAAACAAACUGAAUUAUUCGAAUCAAACACAAUACAAUAAUCAUCCGCAUUACAAACAAUUAUUCAAAACAUGUCAUGAAUACAAAUACAAAUGAAUACAAAAAUAAGUCACUGUCCAGCCAUUUGCCAAUGGUGUUCAAUGAGAUCUUUCUGAAGUUGAAAGUGGGUGUGUGGGUUUUCAAUCUCCUUGUCUGUCUGAAGAAAAGCUCUAAUGCGGUUUGGGUCUCUAGCUGGUUUAACACGGCUACCCACAUUGUCGUAAAAGAAUUCUAAGUUCCCAAGAUUCCUCGCAAGCUUGAACAAUUUUCACAAAGAGGGAUCGACGCAUUCCUUCUUUGAGUAAAUUACCGGCAAUUUUCCUCGCAAGCUUGAACAAUUUUCACAAAGAGGGAUCGGCGCAUUCGGUACCUUCUCCGGAAGAGGUGUGGAGGAUAUGUAGGAUGUUGGGGAACGUCGCAUGGAAAACAAAUUUUUUCCUACGCGCACAAAGACCUAUCAUGGUGAUGUCCAUCUACGAGGGGGAUUUCAGAUCUACGUACCCUUGUAGAUCGCACAGCAGAAGCGUUAAUAAACGCGGUUGAUGUAGUGGAACGUCCUCACGUCCCUCGAUCCGCCCCGCGAACCGUCCCACGAACCGUCCCGCGAUCUGUCCCACGAUCCGCUCCGAUCUAGUGCCGAACGGACGGCACCUCCGCGUUCAGCACACGUACAGCUCGACGAUGAUCUCGGCCUUCUUGAUCCAGCAAGAGAGACAGAGAGGUAGAUGAGUUCUCCGGCAGCAUGACGGCACUCCGAAGGUUUGUGGUGAUCUAAUCUCAGCAGGGCUCCGCGCGAGCUCCGCAGAAACGCGAUCUAGAGGAAAAACCGUGGAGGUAUGUGGUCGGACUGCCGUGGAAAAGUUAUCCCAAAUCAGCCCUAAAACCGCCGUAUAUAUAGGUGGGAGGGGAGGGGCCUUGCCUUGGGGCUCAAGGAGCCCCAAGGGGUUCGGCCGAAGGGGGGAGGAGGAGUCCUCCUCCAAUCCUAGUCCAACUAGGAUUGGAAGGUGGAGUCCUUCCCUUCCUUCCCACUUCCACUUUUUUCUCUUUGAUUUUCUUAUCUCCCUGCGCAGGGGCCUCUCUGGGCUUGCCCACCAACCCACUAAGGGCCGGUGCGGCACCACUAAGGCCUAUGGUCUUCCCCGGGGUGGGCUCGNNNNNNNNNNNNNNNNNNNNNNNNNNNNNNNNNNNNNNNNNNNNNNNNNNNNNNNNNNNNNNNNNNNNNNNNNNNNNNNNNNNNNNNNNNNNNNNNNNNNCUAAAAAAAGGGUUACUUUUAGUUUUGUAAAACAAAUUUUUAGGUAAUGUUACCUUUUCUAUAAUUUUUACUGAAAUUACUAAAACAAUAAUUACAGUUUUUCUAAAAAAAAUAGUUUUGAAAUUUUGAAAAAAUUAGGUUUAACUUUUUCAUUUUUUUAAGGUAGUUUUAMAAAWARUUACCAAAUUWCARWAAHAAUUUAAAAAAAAUAAAAAAAAUAAAAACAAAGAACAAAAAGGGUAAAAGGGAAAGAAAAUAAAAGAAAGAAAAAAACAAACAAAAAAUCUAAAAAAGAUAAAAUACCAAAAACGUAGAAGAAACAGGAGGAACCUUCUAGGAGAAAAAACGACUGAGAAACUAUAGAAGGUUCCCCAAACCGGAAUGGUGCAACUUGUUAAUAGUCGGCCCAGGUGAUUACCAUAAAAUGGACACAAUUUUAAUUGUAGAUGUAACUAAUUCACAAAAUGAAUCGUGCAUGAAAAUUCACAUGCAUAUCUUCUUUGUGUGGCGCCCGGUUGUACAUCGUGUAGCAUUUGAUCUACAGGCGCUACACCUCUGAUAAGCGUGGCAUCCGAGGUUAUAAUUCUGAUUGUAUGAUGUUUAAAUGAAAGGAGUCACUCUACAUUAUAUGACACCCGCUGAAAGAAGCCACAUUAUUUUAUAUUAAAAUUGAUGUAACUUUUAAUCCUUGCAUCCGAUGAAAAUAUGUUUUAUAUGAAUAUUGUGUAUUUUUCUGUGUUCUACGCAAUGGUGUCAUUUCCAUCGAUGUUAAGAUCAAUUUUCUUGAUGAAAUCUCUGUUGCAAAAAUGCGUCAUAAUAUAAUUGAUCGGAUUUGUUAAGACUUACAAAGUUGACAUGAUGGUAGCCACUGACUUAUAGCUUUUAUGCAUUUGCAUUCUACAUGAGUUUUACCCUAUAUAAUGUGUAUGUUCACGUCAUGUUCAUGCUUGUCAUGUUAGUCAUCUUUAAUAUGUUCAUGUCUUGCAUCUAAGUGACUAACAUGAUAUAUUUUUUGUAAACAAUCUUAUGAAGCUUUAUUUAACUGAAAUCAAUGUUUACAGAAAUAAAUGCAGGAUCAUCGGGUUGCUUAACCACACAUGGUCGCCAACCCCUAGUCUGGUAACAUGCUUCGUUAUGGAUGGGCCAGUUCCAAACACAGUAGGCCCACUUCCACCUCGUAGCCGGGCUUAGUCAGGUCAGUCGUCCAUUGUAGGAUUUUCUUCCACCUGGUCUUCGCACCUCUGAGACGGGGAGAUGCGGAGGCCGUCGGCUUCGUCGCCUCCGGCGAGGGGACCGGCGUUGGCUGCAGCAGCCGCUGUCGUUCUCCUCCCGGCUAUUUUCCCCGCGCUGUUCUCCCCGCUCGGCCGCGCCUUCCCUUCCCUAUUCUCGGUGCGUCCCCUAUAGUCGCCAUCCUCCUCUCCAGGCGGCUCGAUUUGAGCCGGUGUAGCGUCAUAUUGGCGAUCUUCCGCUUCUCUAGCUGCUUCCUACGCCUCUCCUUGCUAGUUCGCCACUUUGCCGAGUCCGAUUGUUUGGGGUGGGCGAAAAUUGGAUAUAAUCUAGAGGGAUUGGUACUUUUGGGGGGAGGAAUGUAUGUGGAAGGUGAAAUGAUGUGGUGAAUUCGUGGCUUUGUCCCCUCUUGAAUUGGAACUAGUACGAAAUUACAUUUGUUUAUUUGGUGUAUAUGUAUGUCGAUGCAGAGUAACCUGUAAAUAAGCAAAGUGUGCAACCUGUAAAUAAGCGAAGUUUGCAAGAUCUGGAUUCUUUUGAUGGACAGCAUCAUGCCAGUUGCAUCGGAUAUUUUGGUUUGGACAGUGGUCUCCAAUGUGUGAUUACGAGUAGAUUUUUUUGUAUGCAUUUCGGGGCAGUGUGGGACGCUGGGACUGUACUCGGCUACCAUGAGCCAUGACAGUAUUGGGAAUAACAUGUGUACUGGAUUACUCUACUAUGGCUGUGAAGAUAGAUUGGCUACUGAUGUGGACCUUAGUAAAUAUUUCUGCAGACUGCAAUAUUGUCUUUUUAAGAUUAAUCAUGUGGACAGCGUGUAUACUGCAGGAGUGGAAUGCCCCUAAGCCAAUGCACGAGUCUCUUUUCAAUGAGUCUUUGCGAUGGACAAUAGUGAGUAUUCACAACUCAGAUAAAUACUGGAAAUAGUUAUGUUGAAGUCUAUUUGUAACUUACUCUCUGUACAGCCAGAUGAACAAAAAAGAGAUCUCUGGACACCCUUGCCUGAUCAGGGGUGGAAACCAUGCAUAAGGUCAUCGAUCACUCGUGGUAACAUUCUGUGAUAAAUCUGUUUAGGUAAUGAUAUGCCUCCCGCUGCGAUAGAUCACUAAGCAUUUGGUUAUAUGAAGUGUAGGGUUACCUUCACAACCCAGUGGGUACAUACAAGUAUUUCUUGAUGGUGGCCUGAACCAGCAGAGAAUGGGGGUAACUCACUUCUUAUGUACCAAACUCAUGAUGUUAGAUUUAAUAUAACUUGCUUGGUUGAAACUUCAGAUCAUCUGGCUCUUUCUUUUUGUUCUCUAGAUAUGUGAUGCAGUUGCGGUUGCUAAGAUUUUGAACGCUACUCUUGUGAUCCCACAUCUUGAAGUAAACCCUGUUUGGAAAGACUCAAGGUGCUUUUGGAGUUUCAGAGUACUACUGUAUCUUGUUAAUUUUAAAUACUCCUGUUAGAUUGGAAGUGAAAGGUUUAGUUUGGUCUGCAGCUCAUUUGGAGAUAUUUUUAAUGUGGAUCACUUCAUCAACACCCUAAGAGGCGAUGUUUCAAUAGUGAGAGCUCCAUUAAAAGAAUUUUCGUGGAGCACAAGAGAGUUCUAUAGCACAGGAAUACGUGCUACAAGAAUAAAAACUGCACCUCUUCAUGCCUCGGCUAAUUGGUAUAUAGAGAAUGUCAGUCCUAUCCUGCAAAGGUUUGUGAUUUUCUUGGCCAUAUAGUCGCUUCUCUAGACCCCUUGAGUAAGUGGCAUAAUAAUGCUAAGAAACUGCAGUUCAUGUUUAGCCCAGGUUGAUGGCCACUGAACUGGCUUUAUAGUAUUAACAUGACAACUCGUUGUCUAACUUCAUUAGUUGGUUACUCUGUGAGGGGAAUCCUUCACCGAAAAUCUCAUGCAAGCGUUGUUUCCCUUGUCAGCUAUGGCAUUGCUGCCAUUGCCCCCUUUUCUCACCGCCUUGCAUUCGAUGAUUUGCCUGUGGAUAUUCAACGCCUGCGCUGUAAAGUUAACUUUGAAGCCCUGGUUUUUGUGCCUUACAUUAUAUCACUGGGGAGGACCCUUGAGAAGCGCUUGAGAUCUCCAGUGCAGGGGCAUUCCACUGAAUUAACCCAACAAGUUGUAGAAGAUUACACAGAUCAGUCUGAAAAGUAUGCAGUUGUACAUCUCCGCUUCGAUAAGGUAAAUGGAAGGGCUUCUGCUAUAUUUGGAAGUCGUACGUGUAUAUUUUUGUUAUCUUCAAGGAAUUUCCACUCUGAAACAACUCAAGCUGACCUACAUUUUUCAGGAUAUGGCUGCACAUUCUGCCUGUGACUUUGGCGGUGGUAGAGCUGAAAAAUUAGCUCUGGCUAAGUACAGGCAAGUUAUCUGGCAAGGGAGGGUAUUAAAUUCACAGUUAAGUGAUGAGGAGCUUCGAAACACAGGACGCUGCCCGUUGACUCCAGAAGAGAUUGGAUUGAUACUAGUAGCGCUUGGCUUUGACAGCAAAACUCGAUUUUAUCUUGCCUCUCACAAGGUUUGACUCUCUGCCUCUGCCGGUGCGCUUACUUAUUCUCCGUAGUGGAAGCAGAAAUUUCUAACAUACGUCACCUAUUAAGGUAUAUGGAGGGGAAGCUAGGAUCUCUAGCUUGCGCAAGCUUUUCCCGCUGAUGGUAGACAAGAGGAGCCUUGCAUCGGCAGAUGAGCUUGCUAGUAUCGAAGGGAAGGCUUCUGUGCUAGCAGCUCUUGACUACCAUAUCAGCAUGCACAGCGAUGUUUUCAUCUCUGCUUCUCCUGGCAAUAUGCAUAAUGCACUGGUAAAUCCUGUUUGGCUUCAGCUGUAUUCGCUAGAUUUCUCCUCUUUCUUUAUUGGUCCUGACCAGAUGAUGGUUGAUUCAGCUGGCCCACCGGACCUAUAGGAAUCUGAAGACGAUAAGGCCAAACAUGACAUUGCUUGGCCACAUAUUUGUGAACAAGAGCAUGGAGUGGUCAGAGUUUCAGCAGGCUGUGCAGGCAGGCCACAAAGGUAGAUACGGGCAGAUCCGGCUGAGGAAGCCGAAGCAGUCUAUCUAUACUUAUCCUGCCCCAGAUUGUAUGUGCCCAGGGUAGAUCGCCAAGUUUUCUGCGGUGCACCGACAAAAGAAAUGUGCUGAGUUACUUGCAGUUUCUAAUUAGGUUAAGCUCAUGUGGAUAUGUAUAUUUAGUUCUGAAUUUUCGGUUGAAUCAGUUUGCUGCCACUUCCAAUAGGAUCUUAAAAUUUUAACCAAAAUUUACGCACUAUACGUUGAGCCUUGAAGGACUCUAAUCUUGUGCUGUUUGCACGAUCCAUACGACGAAGUUGUAGUUUUGGAGCUGAUGUUGUGUAUCUGUGACCUGACUUGAUAUACUGGAUCCUUUUUCUUCUUUUAUUCCGCUGUUCUACUUCUGGGAGUCCGGUGUUCUGAAUUUCUGCUUUGAUUUAGUAUUACUAUCGUCAUGGCGAAUUCGAUACUAAUGCUUCAAACUAGUAGUAUGUUUUGCCAUGUUUUAAAAUAACACGCAUGGGUGAUAUUACAAGUACAGCCUCCGUCGGAAGCCAUGGGCGAAUCCACAAGGACAAAGUUUCACCACCGGAACUUUAAGAUUACAACACGUUUUUGCACUGCCACCUACUCCUCCACACUUUGUACAUCCUCAGCACCCCAAAAUAAUAAUUCAGACCACCUGAAACCUCCUUGGUCGGUGAAAUCGACGGAUUUAUUGGCCGGAGAUGGUCUGGAUGAUGGUGUUGUGCCAUGGGUCGGCCAGGUGCUGCUGCAGGUUCUCGAACGGCCCCUUCCCGGUCACGUUGUGCUGCACCAGGAACCCCAGGAACGCCAGCAUGGCCAGUCUCCCUGAACGAAUGAACGCGCGCGCGAAUACAGAUUAACGAGAGCCGUCGGAUUAGAAACCCGAGGGUUCAGAUGAGACUGAAGAGAGGAUGGACGUACCGUUGGCGAGCUCCUUCUCCUUGUUCUCGAGGGUGGGGGCGAAGUUGAGGGGGUUGAAGACGCUGCCGGGGUAGCCGCACUCGUGGGGCGGGAGGCUGUAGCUCUUGAAGAUGGGGUCCUGGUUGACGGAGCCCGGGUUCUUGAUGUCCUGCCACCGCCGGAUCUCGACGUAGUGGAAGAGGAUGAACUCGAUGACGAAGAGCGUGGAGGAGGAGGCGAAGUAGGUCUCCUUGCCGGCGUCGUACCACUCGGGCGCGUUCAGCAGCCCCGCCUUGGUCAGCACCUCCGGGAUCAGCAUCCCCGCCACCCCCAGCAUCGCCCACCGCCCGUUCACCAGCUCCGCCUGCACGAACCACCGCAGGUCCUCCGGGUCCUCCGCCAGCGCCAGCGGGUCAAAACCAUUGUCACCCGCCAGACUGCACACGUAUCGUCCGUCAGUACGGUCGUAAACAUAUGUAACAGCUGCGUGCAUGGGCACGACGGAAGUGGUGUGGCGUGUCGUGUGGUCUGCUCACCUGCCGUCGAGGUAGGCAGGGGACUGGAGGCCGGGGAGCCAGGACCCCUUGGCCUGGACGGCGACGUCGCGGCGGGUGGACUUGGCGAGCCCGACGCGGCCGGAGUCGCCCAGGAACCGGGGGCUCGACGCUGACGCCGCCGGCCGGAGAGCGGCCACGGGAGCGCGGGCACUGACCGACGACAUCUUCUGCUACUCCUGACUAGAGAGCGCGUACGGCAGGAGAGUGAGAGUGCGCGCGUGUGUGUGUGGUGGUUCUGCCUCUCCGCACCUGCGCUUGGCCCUUUGUAUUGGGCUGCGCUUCGGUGAUUUGUGGGUGUGGUGAGCUGGGCCCCGGAGGUCGAGAUGGACGGCGUGUGUUGGCGCCACCGCGUCGUCCGACGGCUGCGAUGCGUUUGCGCCUG
rnacentral:lncRNA from 1 species